rnacentral:rRNA from 1 species
UGAAAAGAACUUUGAAAAGAGAGUUAAAAAGUGCGUGAAACCGUUAGUGGGGAAACGGAUGCAGUUAGCAAUGCUUCGGCGAGAUUCAGGCGGUCACCUGGCUGGACGGGCAGUGUGUGGAUCCGAAUGGACUGUCGCUGCUUGGCUUGGUCUUGUGCUCGUCGCACUUCUCGUCGGAGCGCGUCAACAGCUGCUUGACUUGAGCGAUACGGUGCUCGGGAAGGUAGGCGUGUGUCUUCGGACUUGCGUUGUUAUAGCCCGUGGCAUUCCCAGUUCGAGUUUGGCAGAGGCGAACGGUGCAUGCUCUCUAGGGGGCUGGCGUCCUUCUCUUGAUCGAUUGUCGAGCAUGGCGGACUGCUUGCAGUGCGUCUGAACUGCUGUUGGUCAUUCGGGAGGAUCGCGCACACUAUGCACCUAGGUUGUUGGCGGCCAUAUGGCUUCAUCUGACCCGUCUUGAAACACGGACCAAGGAGUCUAACAUGUGCGCAAGUCUUGGGGUGACCGAAACCCAAAGGCGCAAUGAAAGUAAAGGCUGCCUGGCAGCCGAGGUGAGAUCUUCGUUCCGCGUGUCCGAAGCGCAUCAUCGACCGACCUAUUCUACUCCUAGAAAGUUUGAGAAGAGCGCAUCUGUUGG